rfam:Triticum aestivum genome assembly, contig: Triticum_aestivum_CS42_TGACv1_scaffold_288822_4AL
AAAGUACUCCCUCCGUCCCAAAAUUCUUGUCUUAGAUUUGUCUAGAUAUAGAUGUAUCAAGUCACAUUUUAGUAUUAGAUAUAUCCGUAUCUAUACAAAUCUAAGACAAGAAAUUUGGGACAGAGGGAGUAGUUG